UGGGGAAUUUUCCGCAAUGGGCGAAAGCCUGACGGAGCAACGCCGCGUGAGGGAUGAAGGCCUCUGGGUCGUAAACCACUUUUCUCGGGGACGAUAAUGACGGUACCCGAGGAAUAAGCCACGGCUAACUACGUG
rnacentral:rRNA from 1 species